rnacentral:snoRNA from 1 species
CAUCUAUGAACAUUUUUGUAUUAACAUCUUAAAUCACUUCCAGGCUUCCUAAAAGCUUUCUCCUUCUAGUUGUUUAAAUGUGGCAAUCUUUCUCUUGAGUUG